rnacentral:rRNA from 1 species
ACCUGGUUGAUCCUGCCAGUAGUCAUAUGCUUGUCUUAAAGAUUAAGCCAUGCAUGUCUAAGUAUAAGCUUUUUAUACGGCGAAACUGCGAAUGGCUCAUUAAAACAGUUAUAGUUUAUUUGAUAGUCUUUCAUUGGAAGCAAUUCUAAUACUACUACAUGGAUAACCGUGGUAAUUCUAUGGCUAAUACAUGCGUAAAUAUCCUUUUUCGCAAGGAAAAGGAUAGUGUUUAUUAGAUACAGAACCAAUACGCCAGUUUCGUAAGAACUGGUGUCAUAGAAAGGUGAUUCAUAGUAACCGAACGGAUCGCAUUAUGGUCAUUAUUUUUAUAAUGGCUGGCGAUAGAUCAUUCAAGUUUCUGACCUAUCAGCUUUCGACGGUAGUGUAUUGGACUACCGUGGCAGUGACGGGUAACGGGGAAUUAGGGUUCGAUUCCGGAGAGGGAGCCUGAGAAACGGCUACCACAUCUAAGGAAGGCAGCAGGCGCGCAAAUUACCCAAUCCUGACUCAGGGAGGUAGUGACAAGAAAUGACAACACUGGAAAUUUUAUUUCUAGUGAUUGGAAUGAUGGGAAUUUAAACCCCUUUCAGAGUAACAAUUGGAGGGCAAGUCUGGUGCCAGCAGCCGCGGUAAUUCCAGCUCCAAUAGCGUAUAUUAAAGUUGUUGCAGUUAAAAAGCUCGUAGUUGGAUGUCUGCUGGAAGCAAUCAGUCCGCCCUAUUUGUGGGGUGUGCACUUGAUGAAUUCUGGCAUUUUUGUCCCAAUAUUAUGAUGUAGAAUGUGGGACACAGAGUGUUAUUGGGCGAAAGUUCAAUAGCAUGUCUGUGUUCCGAUUCUUAUUAUAUUGGGAUACUGUUACUUUGAGAAAAUUAGAGUGUUUGAAGCAGGCUUUGAAUUGCCUUGAAUACUGCAGCAUGGAAUAACAAUAUAGGAUUUCGGUUCUAUUUUGUUGGUUUCUAGGACUGAAAUAAUGAUUAAUAGGGACAGUUGGGGGCAUUCGUAUUUAACUGUCAGAGGUGAAAUUCUUAGAUUUGUUAAAGACGAACUACUGCGAAAGCAUUUGCCA